ACUUCGAACAAAACUUAUAUGAAAACUAAAAAAAGACGGAAGGGAGUACAAAACAGUAGGUCUUGCGUGGACCCAAACCGUAUGAGAGCGACGGCGGUCGCGCACGAGAACUCUGGUCCGUGGACUAUCGUGAGAAGCCGAUCCGAGCCAGGGAUGAGAUAAGGUGUACUUGACGGCGGUGGACGUCUGCGCCGUUUGUCGAUCAUUCUGAAACCCAAGCCGUCCCUCUUUUCCCCGCACACCACGCUGUUCCCGUUGUGAGAAGGCGCUUGCGGCGGCGCUCGUUUUACACUGGCGGCGACGCGAAAUAAUGGAGGAUUCUGGGCUGGAGCUCUUGCUCGAUGCCGUAUUAGUUCGAGCAGAUCUGCAAACAAGGUGGAGUUCGCCGACAACCUUGAGCACCUAGAUCCGGUUCCUCUGGUCUUGUUGCCCAACAACGGAGCGGGCCUUGCCGUUCCUGAAGACUCGAAUGCUGGGUCUGGCUGUCAGGCUGUGCUCAGCAGCUUUUGGGCGAUGGGACUGUUAGAGAACGAGUUUGGGUCCGCCGCCGUCCGGAUGGCUCUCCGACGAGGUCGGUGCAGUCGACUGACAGAGUCAAUCCAGAAGCACCUGGCUGGACAAAAACUUAUGCACCCCUACUCCUCCAAACUAUCCUCCUGUAACUUGUUGAACUGUGGCUGCAUCUUCGUCUCCGCUCCGCAGCGUUUAUAAGAAAAAAAGAUGGGUUACUUUUGCUGAAAA